CUGCAGUUCUCCCCAGAGACAGGCAUGCUCCCAGCAACUAGAUUUCCUGAAUGUUCUCCAUGAGUCACGUUAGCUAAGCUGUUUCUGCCUCACAUCUGAAGGAAGACAGGAGGAAAGGUGGAUGAACUAAGCUGGACCCAAACUGUCUCUUCCAGGUGCUGAAUACCACGUUGGAUGCUCUGGCCAGUACUCAAAGUUCUUUGGGCAUCUCAAGACAAGCAGCUCAGAAUUCCCAUGAUGCUCUGGGAGAUGUCAGAACUCUCCAGCCUGUAGCCCCAGCAGAGGUCUGUGGUUUUACUGCCUAUGGAAAUUGGGCUGGCAGAUCAAAGGCAGCAGCAGUGACUGUGGCUCACAUUGCCAGCAGCCGGCACUAUCAGGAUAUCAACAUCAGCAGAAUUGAUCAUUCAAAAUUAAGUGAGUUAAUGAUUGACGUCCAUUCGUAAAAUCUGACCUACCGCCUCACCUCCCGCAAACUGCCUUUCCCACUCUGCCCCUGCUGCAAGAGAUAUGGCAAAUCGAAUUGCAGUUCCUGCUUGCCUUGCCCAGCCCUGCCCAGGCCUCAGCCAGACUUCACAAAUCCCCUGUACUCAAUCCCUGCACCAUUCCCGUUGGGUGGCUCUGGGAAAUCUUAGUUAGCACUUAGUUCGCUUUCAGAGCUGGGAGAUCACAAAUCUGAGCUGAAAAGGGAAAAGCCUGCUGCAACUUUGCACCUGUAAUAUGUGAGUCACUUGAUUUAAAAAAUGCUUCCAAAUCAGGUUCAGGAUCCUCUCUGUGUGGGCAGGAAAGGGGGGCAGGUGUAGGUGAGAAAUGUCU
rnacentral:lncRNA from 1 species